UAUUGAAUUUAAAGUAGAUUGUUGCUGGCUUAGGCAUGUGCACAUCUUAUUACCAUCUCACACCUGUGCACCUAUUGUAGAUUCCUAGUGGAUCUAUGUUUUUAUUGCACUAUAUUGUAUGUCCUAUGUACAAAAAAUUAUUACAACUUUCAGCAAUGGAUCUCUUGGCUCUUGCAUCGAUGAAGAACGCAGCGAAUUGCGAUAAGUAAUGUGAAUUGCAGAUUUUCAGUGAAUCAUCGAAUCUUUGAACGCACCUUGCACUCCUUGGUAUUCCAAGGAGUAUGCCUGUUUGAGUGUCAUUUAAUUACCAAUCUAGUAAUUGAUUGGACUUGGGAUUUGCUGGCUUUGAGUAGUCAGCUAUCCUUAAAUGUAUUGUAUUGACGUGCACGGCCUGUCUCCGGUGAUAAAUGAUCCGUUGGUCCGGGCUGGAAGCGUCAAUUAGACAUAAGUGUUUACACUUGACAAUUUG
rnacentral:misc_RNA from 1 species